rnacentral:misc_RNA from 1 species
ACACCCUCAAGCUCUGCUUGGUGUUGGGCGUCUGUCCCGCCUCCGCGCGCGGACUCGCCCCAAAUGCAUUGGCAGCGUCCUUUGCCCCCUCUCGCGCAGCACAUUGCGCUUCUCGAGGGCGGCUCCGGGGCGCGACCCACCGAAGAUGACCACCGU